GGUAUUGCUAUUUCUUAUAAUUUCUCAAUCGUUUAAGCGAAAACUUGGAUCAAGAAAAAACGAAAGAAAUUUAAAUAGUUAUGUGGUCAUUUUGCAAAACUUGUGAGGGACACAGUGACAGAUAGUGAAACCUGCAAUUUCUGAGAAACUUCCCGCGACCCCUUGAGAGCAAAAACUAUCCACUGAAAUGAUUUCAUUCAGCAUGUCACCUAAAUAUAUUAUUAUCCGAAAUUCUCUCCAUACUGUUACGUAAUAUAUCUAUACGUACACACACUCAAUUCUCAAUAUAUACAUCAAUGAUCAUAUUACAAUGAUUGCUAAAUACUAAAUCCUAGUAGUAUGAUAUGUGAUUGGAGUCUUUUCUAAUUGGGACCAAAUCUUCAGUUAUGAUUUUCAUUAAUUAGAAAUGAGAUUUCCGCCAAGACUUGCUGAAGCACAUACAAAUUCGAAAGUUCUUUGGAAAGCAUCCGAUAAAAAUGGAACGAUAGAAAGAAGACUAACACAUUCAGUGCAAAAGCACGGUGGCAGAGUAGACGCUCCAGCUGAAACUGUGAAAAUAAUAAGUCAAGAGAAUGUAACGAAGUUGUUGAUGAAAGUGAAUAUACAAAACAGUUUGGGGCCGGCACAUGUCAUUAUGUCGUUAGAAACACCGUUGGGGAGUUGAUAAAGGCUGCCAUUGAGAUUUACGUGAAGGAGAAGAGGCGGCCAUUGUUGCCUAGUCGUGAUCAUCAUUGUUACAAGCUUCAUUACUCUCAAUUUAGUUUGGAGAGCUUGAAACCAGACGAAAAGUUGCUGAAUUUGGAGUUGAGAAGUUUCCUUUUAUGUCCAGAGCCAAAUUCAUCCUUCAAGGACAAGGCAAAGGCCAUUGAGAAAUUUCCACUUAUCUUGGCAAAAUUCAUGGAUCUCUUAAUACAAAUUGUCAUUAAUCUAAGUAGUUUUUGGCCAAAAUGUCAUCCGCACUGGCUUUAAUUGUUACCUAAACAAACCAUGAUCAUGAGUCGUGACCAAUAAUAUUCUCCGCAUCAUGUAAAUUUUAAAUUUUUGUGUGUAAUUUACAAGUUUCACAAAGUUGCAAGAAAUGAUUAUGUAUACUCGAUGGUUCUUUUAA